rnacentral:rRNA from 1 species
GACAGAGGUCCCAAGCGUUAGGCGGAAUCACUGGGCUUAAAGCGUGUGUAGGCGGAUCCGUAAGUACCUUGUGAAAUCCCACGGCUCAACCGUGGAACUGCUGGGUAUACUGCGGGUCUUGAGCCACCUAGGGGCGAGCGGAACAAGUGGUGGAGCGGUGAAAUGCGUAGAUAUCAUUUGGAACGCCAACGGCGAAAGCAGGCAACUGGGGGUGUACCGACGCUGAGACACGAAAGCCAGGGGAGCGAACGGG